AUGGAGAACAUGCUGGAAUGUGCAUUCAUAGUCUUGUGGCUUCAGCUUGGCUGGUUGAGGGGAGAAGACAAGGUGGAGCAGAGUCCUCAGACCCUGAAAAUCCAGGAGGGAGACAGUCUCAUCCUCAACUGCAGCUACACGGCCAGCAAUUUUAACGGGCUACUGUGGUAUAGACAGGAUCCUGGGAAGGGACCCGAACUUCUCUUCCGUCUUUACUCAGUUGGGGAGGAAAAGCAGAACGAAAGACUAAAAGCCACCUUGUUAAAGAAGGGAAGCUCUCUGCACAUCGCAGCCCCUAAACCUGAAGACUCAGCCGCUUACCUCUGUGCCACCUCUGAAGGCAGCAGGCCUGAGUCAUCAGCCAGUUCUCCACCAGGAAAAGGGGAGACAAGAGGCCAUGGGGAGUGCUUCCUGAAUGGGAUCUGA